rnacentral:tRNA from 1 species
GGCUCCAUAGUUCAGUGGUUGGAGCACUGGUCUUGUAAACCAGGGGUCGCCAGUUCAAUUCAAUCUGGGGCUU